GACGAACGCUGGCGGCGUGCUUAACACAUGCAAGUCGAACGGAAAGGCCCUGCUUUUGUGGGGUGCUCGAGUGGCGAACGGGUGAGUAACACGUGAGUAACCUGCCCUUGACUUUGGGAUAACUUCAGGAAACUGGGGCUAAUACCGGAUAGGAGCUCCUGCUGCAUGGUGGGGGUUGGAAAGUUUCGGCGGUUGGGGAUGGACUCGCGGCUUAUCAGCUUGUUGGUGGGGUAGUGGCUUACCAAGGCUUUGACGGGUAGCCGGCCUGAGAGGGUGACCGGCCACAUUGGGACUGAGAUACGGCCCAGACUCCUACGGGAGGGAGCAGUGGGGAAUAGUGCACAAUGGGCGGAAGCCUGAUGCAGCAACGCCGCGUGCGGGAUGACGGCCUUCGGGUUGUAAACCGCUUUCGCCUGUGACGAAGCGUGAGUGACGGUAAUGGGUAAAGAAGCACCGGCUAACUACGUG
rnacentral:rRNA from 1 species